rnacentral:lncRNA from 1 species
AAAAAGUCUUUGAACUAUGGACUAAAAUUUCUUCCCCAUUGUAGACUCUUAUUAUCUAAUACACUCCCAAAUGUUUCCUGCUCCAGAACAAUCUGUCUUGAAACCUUGCCUUGUAUGAAGAUGGGAAGCCACCAUUUUCCAUUCAACCUGUCAGCAAGUCUCAGUCUCAAAGGCUUGAGUUGGCUGAUGUCAGCAGGAUUAUGUCAAGUGCUGUCUUUCAGUCUCUAAUUAGAAAUAUCACCAGCUAGGGUGAGUCUUUAUCCCUGUUAAUCUGACCAGGAGGUGCAUCAUGAAUAAUUUUGUCUGUAUACUGCCUGUCCUCUUUGUUUCUAGCACAGAAAGGAGUGUUGUACCCACAAAUGUCUUUGAUCAGGUACAGGACCUUCUUGCUUCUGCAUGUGUAAUCAACAUCUGCUAUUAAUGCUCCUCUGAGAGCUGGUAAAUGGGUAGCAUGUGUAAUUUCUUCAUUAGCAUACCUGUUUACUCCCAACUGUGCUUUGAAGUAGAUUGGGGCAGGCUUCCCACAUGGAAAAUGCUGUUCCUAGACUGGAUCCACCACAGUGCAGAGUGUGUUU